rnacentral:lncRNA from 1 species
CUGAAUCUGGAUUACUCAUUUUGUUUGGUUUUCUGCUCUUUCGCUCUUGAGUUUAUUUAAAAGGCCUUGUCUGGGACUUUUCAUAUUUGUAAGGGACUUACAAAUGAGGUUUCACGGGGCAUCAAGUGCUCAGAGGAGCUUUGGACAACUAUCCCAAGCAGGCAGCGAUGAACAUGGAAAGAUCGCCGUGCUCCCAGUUAAGCGCAGAGCCAAAAGGAAUGCUGGGAUAAUAUGACGGAAGAAAUCUACACCUUGGCUGCCGAGGGAAGGUAAGCGCUGCCAAGGGGGAAAAAAAGCAUCUCUCCAGAGGACAGGGUAAGUGCGAAUUCCUAAAAGUGUGCCAGACACUCCAUUGAUGUCCGGCUAACUCUCCUACAUUUGGGGAGCGGACAUUAGCAAAGCUAAAACGCUUGUUUACAUUCCUGCGAACUUACAACUGAAUCCCAAAAUGAGCUCAUGUAAACUGAUCUCCUUCUGCUAGAGGCGCCAGUGUGUUGCUAAUACAAUGCACAGGUUAAUUGCAUUAUGUUUUCAAUUUAGGACAUUACACGUAAAGGUGUUUAACCCCCCCCAAAAAACAGAGAAAACAAAUAGAAACUGAUGUAUGUAAACUGAGAACAGGAGACACGUUUCUGCCCAAAAAGGUUUCUGAGAGUCUGCAGUCACUACUCAACCAUGUUGAAGAAGCUGUUGCCCUGGCUUUUAAAAAAAACAACAUUUGGAUGAGAUUCUGCAAUCACUUAGUUACGAGUAACUAAGUAUUGAUGGACUGAAUUGAUUAACUGUUAACUAUAAACUCAUAUUUUAACAUACAUUUCACGGUGUAUCACAGGAAUGCAACUGAUUGCAGAUACAUAAAAAACCAUAAUGAAUACAUUUCCAGCUUCAGCAGUGCUUUUCUGUAUUACACUGAGCUUUAAUUUCUUAUUAUAGUUGCACUUUUUUUUUUCAUUGGAGACCAGACAGACCACUGUAGGUUUGCAGUAAUAAAUGCAGGACUUGUAUCAUGUAUCAAAAAUGAAAUCACUGCAAAUCAUAGCAAGGAUGAACAGAUGUUCAAUAAACCCAGCAUAGAACCCAUUGCGAAAUGACUAUAGUUGAAUGAAUGGGUGAUGAUCUCACAGAAAGAAUGUGGCUUAUAGCCUUAGGAAGGUGGUUUGCUGGUGGGCACUGAAGAUGGUGGCGGGUUGUGGGGUUUGUUUUCAUCUUUGUGCAGCACAAUGAACCAGUCUGACUACAGGAAGUGUGGAGUCAUCAGCAAGGUUUUUAGUGUAGAUUCCACUUUGUCCCUGUGUGUUAUUGCCAAU